ACAAUCAGGUUUGACGGCGUGCCUCAGACAUGCAAGUCGAACGCGAAAGCCCCUUUCGGGGGGCAAGUAGAGUGGCGCACGGGUGAGUAACACGUAGGUAAUCUACCUUCGGAUGGGGAAUAACAACCGGAAACGGUUGCUAAUACCGCAUAAUGCAGCGGCACCUAAUGGUGACAGUUGUUAAAGCGGGGGAUCGUAAGACCUCGCGUCUGAAGAGGAGCCUGCGGCAGAUUAGCUAGUUGGUGGGGUAAUGGCCCACCAAGGCGAUGAUCUGUAGCCGGCCUGAGAGGGCGGUCGGCCACACUGACACUGACAUACGGGUCAGACUCCUACGGGAGGCAGCAGUCGGGAAUUUUGGGCAAUGGGCGAAAGCCUGACCCAGCAACGCCGCGUGAAGGAUGAAAUCCCUCGGGAUGUAAACUUCGCAAGAACGGGAAGAAUAAGCCGGUGACAACACCACCGGCGAUGACGGUACCGUUUGUAAGCUCCGGCUAGCACCGUGCCAGCAGCCGCGGUAAUACGGGGGGAGCAAGCGUUGUUCGGAUUUACUGGGCGUAAAGGGCGCGUAGGCGGCCACCGCAAGUCGACUGUGAAAUCUCCGGGCUUAACUCGGAAAGGUCAGCCGAUACUGCGGGGCUAGAGUGCAGAAGGGGCAACUGGAAUUCUCGGUGUAGCGGUGAAAUGCGUAGAUAUCGAGAGGAACACCUGCGGCGAAGGCGGGUUGCUGGGCUGACACUGACGCUGAGGCGCGAAAGCUAGGGGAGCGAACGGGAUUAGAUACCCCGGUAGUCCACGCCGUAAACGAUGGAUACUAGGUGUUCGGUGGAUUAACCCACUGAGUACCGCAGUUCACACAUUAAGUAUCCCGCCUGGGGAGUACGGUCGCAAGGCUAAAACUCAAAGGAAUUGACGGGGGCCCGCACAAGCGGUGGAGUAUGUGGUUUAAUUCGAAGCAACGCGAAGAACCUUACCUGGCCUUGACAUCUCUUGAUAGCUGUAGAGAUACAGUUUUGACUUCGGUCACAGGAUGACAGGUGCUGCAUGGCUGUCGUCAGCUCGUGUUGUGAAAUGUUGGGUUAAGUCCCGCAACGAGCGCAACCCCUGUCCUUAGUUACUACCAUUAAGUUGGGGACUCUAGGGAGACUGCCGGUGUUAAACCGGAGGAAGGCGGGGAUGACGUCAAGUCCUCAUGGCCCUUACGGCCAGGGCUACACACGUACUACAAUGGCAGAGACAAACCGUUGCGAAGCCGUAAGGUGGAGCUAAUCGGAAAAACACUGUCCCAGUCCGGAUUGAGGUCUGCAACUCGACCUCAUGAAGUUGGAAUCGCUAGUAAUCGCAGAUCAGC
rnacentral:rRNA from 1 species